UUGGCGGUAUCAAGUUCAGUUCUCACUCAAAGAAUUCUGAAUUGCUGUGAAACUUCCGUCAUCAUUCAUUAGGCAAGAUGCAGCGUGUUCUUGUAAUAUUGAUCAUUUCUAUGAUUCUUGUGGCUGGUGUUCUAGAAGGAGCAGAAGGGGGAAAGUUUAUCGCAAUGCGUCGUCGUCGUAUAUCAGGAGGCAUUGUGAGAAAAACCAGAGACGUUGCUAGGGAAAUGUCAUCCCUGAAAGUGAAGAAGGAAGAGAACAACCAGCUCACGGAGGAGGCUUUGGGUGAAAAAUAAAGGCCACGCCAUCAGACGACCUGGGUGUAGCUUUCAAAAUAGUAACAAUAAUAAUAACAAUGACUUCUAUAUAGCGAAAGUAUUAGCCUUCUAUAGCAUUCACUUGGCCAGCUCAAAGAUACGUGUAUAAUUCAUAAUCUGAAAAAAUCUUUAGAUGAACUGCUCGUGGUAUAUACCAUUAAAACAAUAUGGAUCUGCCCCAGAGUACAAUAUUAAUUUGUUGAUGCCUUAUAAUCCUCCCAGACGCUUAAGAUCAUCCGAUUCUCAAUUGCUUGUUGUUCCGAAAACUAAGAAAUCAU